GUCACAAAAUCAUUAUGACAACCUAAUCACAAGCUGUUAACAUAGCAGACUGAUUUAUCACUGCACAUCCACAAAUUGGCAAUCAGACCGCUAAAAUGGAGACUGACUUGACAUUCAAGGAAAACAAAUGAGUCAUCAUGGAUAGGCUUUAGGAAGCUUUUGCGAACUCAUUACCAGCUCAGUUUUCUUCGCCAUGCACAACACCUGAACACGGCAUAUUUUCUCAUAAAACUUCCAUCUCUAAGAAAGAUAUAAGUUCCAAAAGCCGUCAGAGAGUACAUUGGCCAGCCAAAUAUGCACUAAUAUUUUAUAUAUAUUCUUUUUCUCUUAAUGUUAAACAAAAAUUAUAUAGAAGAGAAUUACCAAGAAACAAGAAAACCUCAUCAUAUUUUCAGUCAGAGAAGUAGAAGCAAUGACCAUGAUCUCUCCGUCUCUCUCUGCUGCCAGUCUAGUGAAAUUAAAUUUUUUUUUUAGGUAAGUGGUAUUUCUAAGACUCCAUUUGGCAAAAGGGAUGAUGAGAUACAAAAGUUUCAGAACCACAACCGAUUAAGGUACAGGUACAUCAAAAGUCAUUACUGCAAGACAUAUUUGAAAGCAAAGAAAUCUUGGGAUUGAUUAACGGUGGGGGUAGGGGGAA
rnacentral:lncRNA from 1 species